GGGUGUGUGCGCGCAUGUGUGUGUGUGUGUGUUUAGCCUUCUUUCUUUACAGAUGCCGCAGUCUACAACUUGGACAAGGAGGUGCAGAGCAGGACCAACUUAUGGUCUUGAGUUCAGGUCCAUGUUCAGCCCCGUGGGCAGGGCCCUUCACAGAGGUGCCAGGCAGCCUCACCCAGCUGUCCCACCAGAGUGGACAUUGGCAGCUGCAGCCCCCCGGCACCCUGCUGAAGAUCCCGGCUGUUGACACUACCAUCACCAAGAGCACUCUGGCCCUGAAGCAGAUCUGUGAGGAGGAAGUGGAGGAUGAGGGGAGGCCCAGCACCAUGGAGAGGAAUAGCAGCUUGCUGAACCAGGAGCAGAUGUGAGACUUCCUGUGUGCCCACUACCUGCCUGGCCAUGAACUCAGUUAUGUCUGCGGUGUGGGCUGGAGCGGGGCGGUGUGUGUGUGUGUAGCAGAGGCACUGGAAGCCAAGUCCAUCAGGCCAAUAAAUAAGAUGGUAGGUUGAUGCAGGUGCCGUAUCUUGUUUCCAAAACACCAUCAUCCACUGGGAAUAGAUGCCCAGGAGCAUCUGCCUAGGCUGAUGUGGGUGGUGAGGGGCUGGUUUCAUAGUAUCACAGACUGGUUUGGGUUGGAAGGGACAUUAAAGCUCAUCCAUUUCCAACCCCCUGCCAUGGGCAGGGACACCUUCCACUAGAGCAGGUUGCUCCAAGACCUGUCCAACCUGGCCUUGGGGGCAGCAGGCAUCAGCCUUCGCUGUGUGUCUCCCUCUUCCAUCAAUCCUAUUUCUCCGCCUCCCUCCAUGUAUACUCCCAAAAUUACACCUUUACCUAGGACAUUGUAAUAUGGGAUCUCUCUCGUUGGGCUACUGGGUGGCUGGAAGAGCAGUGGUGCUGUGUGGGACAUGGGAUGUGGCUGGCCCUGGCCCUGGAGAGAUGAUGGAAAAGAAGCAGGGACUGACGUGACCCCAGCAGCAGGAGAAGCUACUGCUCCUGCCCAUGGGCUCUCCUCCUCUGCCCCUAAAGAGUAAAGCUUUCACCUGAACAGGGGCUUGAGCCCUGGACCCUCAGAUUAAAAGCUUGAUGCUCUCCCAACUGAGUUAUCCAGGUUCACACAUGGAGAUGCUCAAAGACAGGCAAUGAGGACCCUGCUUCACUGGAGGAACAAUGUGGAAUUUUGCUUUGACUUCUUCCACUCUACACAGCCCCAACAAAACCACCACGGUGGAGGGCAUCCUCCCACAAGGAGAAGCUCCACCAGGACCAGGACCUCUACCCUGGCAGGCACCAAUGCCAGGUUUGUCCUCUCAAGAGCAGCCGAAAGGCCAACAACCAGAAAGCCAGCAACCAAAGCGACAUGUGUUGGGGGUCGAGCAUGGGCACUUGAACAGGCCUACAGCAAGCUGUGAGAAAGUGAACUUAUGACCCCAGGUUAAAAGAAGUGUCAAGAUCAGCAAAACAGGAAUGCAAUAA